GAUGAACGCUGGCGGCGUGCCUAAUACAUGCAAGUCGAGCGAACAGACGAGGAGCUUGCUCCUCUGACGUUAGCGGCGGACGGGUGAGUAACACGUGGAUAACCUACCUAUAAGACUGGGAUAACUUCGGGAAACCGGAGCUAAUACCGGAUAAUAUAUUGAACCGCAUGGUUCAAUAGUGAAAGACGGUUUUGCUGUCACUUAUAGAUGGAUCCGCGCCGCAUUAGCUAGUUGGUAAGGUAACGGCUUACCAAGGCGACGAUGCGUAGCCGACCUGAGAGGGUGAUCGGCCACACUGGAACUGAGACACGGUCCAGACUCCUACGGGAGGCAGCAGUAGGGAAUCUUCCGCAAUGGGCGAAAGCUUGACGGAGCAACGCCGCGUGAGUGAUGAAGGUCUUCGGAUCGUAAAACUCUGUUAUUAGGGAAGAACAAAUGUGUAUGUAACUAUGCACGUCUUGACGGUACCUAAUCAGAAAGCCACGGCUAACUACGUG
rnacentral:rRNA from 1 species